rnacentral:lncRNA from 1 species
CUAGUUUAUUAGAGAUGAGGAAUGAGAAGGCAGCCAACCGUGAACGUGUUUAUGAAUUCUUGAGGGGCAUUGGCAUUGUACCUGAUGAGCUCGAUGGAUUAGAACUUCCUGUAACUGUGGAAGUCAUGAGAGAACGGGUGGACUUUCUUCACAAAUUGGGACUCACAAUUGAAGAUAUUAACAACUAUCCCCUUAUUUUGGGAUGCAGUGUGAAGAAAAACAUGAUUCCGGUGCUUGAUUAUCUGGGCAAAUUGAAAUCCACUUUGACAUACUUUUUGCGGCAUUACCCACAAGUUCUCCUUGCAAGUGUGGAGUCGGGGCGAGUUAUAAAUUAGGGUCGGGCGGGUUUAAACAAUUGACUUGGUGGGCUAAUCUGGACCAAUGUAAGACUGCCACGUGUUUAAAAAUAUUGAGUAAACAAGUUUUAACGGUAGUGAGCUCGAUGGAUUAGAACUUCCUGUGACUGUGGAAGUCAUGAGAGAACGGGUGGACUUUCUUCACAAAUUGGGACUCACAAUUGAAGAUAUUAACAACUAUCCCCUUAUUCUGGGAUGCAGUGUGAAG